rnacentral:rRNA from 1 species
UACGUAGGGUGCGAGCGUUGUCCGGAAUUAUUGGGCGUAAAGGGCUCGUAGGCGGUCUGUCACGUCGAAAGUGAAAACUCAGGGCUUAACCCUGAGCCUGCUUCCGAUACGGGCAGACUAGAGGUAUGCAGGGGAGAAUGGAAUUCCUGGUGUAGCGGUGAAAUGCGCAGAUAUCAGGAGGAACAUCAGUGGCGAAGGCGGUUCUCUGGGCAUUACCUGACGCUGAGGAGCGAAAGUGUGGGGAGCAAAAGGG